rnacentral:rRNA from 1 species
UACGUAGGGGGCUAGCGUUGUCCGGAUUUAUUGGGCGUAAAGAGCGUGUAGGCGGCCAGGUAGGUCCGUUGUGAAAACUCGAGGCUCAACCUCGAGACGUCGGCGGAAACCCUCUGGCUAGAGUCCGGAAGAGGAGAGUGGAAUUCCUGGUGUAGCGGUGAAAUGCGCAGAUAUCAGGAAGAACACCCGUGGCGAAGGCAGCUCGCUGGGACGUUACUGACGCUGAGACGCGAAAGCGUGGGGAGCAAACAGG